rnacentral:sRNA from 1 species
GAAUAGAUCCGUGGGCC